UAAACAUCGUGAAGAGAGGAUUGAGAGAGGGAAGGAAAGCGGGGGAGGCUGGGAUUUCUCCAGCGCCGGGGGAAGGUGGCCGUGGAACAGGGCGGGGAACCUUCUGUUUGGGGGGCUGCCACCGUCUUGGUGACAGCAGUGGCUUCCCUCAGUAACUGCCUGGCGACGCUAGAACCGGGAGCAGAGCAGUGCUGGUAAAUGGCAUCGCCUGGGGGAUCCUUUUCCUUCCCACUCCCCUCUGAGCCUCUCUGCACCCGCUUUUCGGCGCCUGACAUCUUUCCCUUCCGGUUGGCUAUUGCCAGGCCUGGGGAGGAAAGCAAAAGGGAAGGCUUCCUCUGUCGGCGAAGUAUCUGGAAGAAUCUAGUAGAAUCUGGCAUCUAGUCUGCGGGCAGCCGUGUGGGUGGCUCUUCGGGGCUGCAUUUCCCGAAGCGUGUUCCCUUAAACACCGAUUCGUCCCGGCGUCCACGCAGCGAGCCUCAGCACCCUCGGAGAGCGCGGUCCUCACGCUCGGAGACAGCCCGCACAAAGAAACCGUUGCAGAAUUGGAGUGGAAGGAACAUGCCUUGCUCCCCAUUGCCAUCACCCAUCUUCCACUAAAGGCCAAAGAUUUGUCAAGCCUAGAGAUUGACUGAAAAGUACUUCAACACGCCAUUGAAUGCUUGAGCACAAACAAUCUACCCAAGGGCUUGCGUGCUUUCUUCAAUGAGGUGAAUGUGAGAACACAAUAAAUUAUAUUCAAAUGGAAGUCAUGGAGGAAACUUUCCUUUCCUUCCUCAUCCACAAAGCUGGUCAAUGGGCGCUAAAGCCCCGGGGAAGCAGCAUCUGUUGUAACUCAAGGAUUCCCCACUCGAGUCGAGGAUGAAAUUAACAGACGUGGAGCAGUUUGCAGCUCAACAUUUGUUCAAGUCUGACACAUGCACGCAUCAUUAGCAACUAUAUUUGAGGAGCAAGAUCAAGGAGGCCACGGCAGAGAUACAAUAGAAGCACAAUCACAAGGAACAGUGAACGUUUGCCGAGGGCUUAAUUUGGCCAGGCAUAUGCCAACGUGUCGAAUUCUCACAGCACCACCUGCAGGGCAGACUUCCUCCCUGGCUUUCUGUCAAGGUGUUGGGAUUGACCAAGAAACAGCUGUAAUAUGGAGUGGAGAUUUCUUCUGACUUUGCUCAGGAAGGGCCACCUCCCCAUGACAUGGGAGAACUGCAAAUACUUCCUUAUUUUUACCAACGCUGGGAAGAACUUGUGCAUUUCAGGAAACUAAGUACUUUUUCAGACAGGUAUAGACAACUCUGUAAACAGACAUGUUCCCCCCACCUCCACCCCAAUUUAAAGGCACAUGUCCAUUGCAGAACAUUUAGAAAGCACAGACAAGCAAAAAGUAGAAAUUACAAAUAUCCAGUAACUUUGGUAUCCUGAGAUAGCUUCUGAUAAUAUUUUGAUUUAUUCCCUUGCAAUUUACUUUUCUGUACAUUUUUACUCCUGCAUGUUUACACCCACCUUAAAA